AACGUAGGUGGCGAGCGUUAUCCGGAUUUACUGGGCGUAAAGGGUGUGCAGGCUGCCCGUCAGGUGGUGUAUGAAAGUGCCCGGCUCAACCGGGCUUGGUUAUGCCAGACUGACGGGCUAGAGAGCGAGAGCGGGACGUGGAAUUCCGGGUGUAGUGGAAAUGCGCAGAUAUCAGGAGGAACACCGAUGGCGAAGGCAGGUCUCUGGGCAUUAACUGACGCUGAGGAGCGAAAGCAUGGGGAGCGAACAGG
rnacentral:rRNA from 1 species